CCCAGCUGUAGCAGCUGCCUAGGUUGCCUUAUGCCUAGGCAAGUGUUAUACUGAUGGAAGAACAGCAGCCCAUAGCUGGUUGGCAUUCUGGGCCUGGUUUGUGCCAAGUUGGUUGUUAACUAUACCAGGUUAACUAU
rnacentral:snoRNA from 1 species